GAUGAACGCUGGCGGCGUGCCUAAUACAUGCAAGUCGAGCGAACGGACUAGAAGCUUGCUUCUCUGAUGUUAGCUGCGGACGGGUGAGUAACACGUGGAUAACCUACCUAUAAGACUGGGAUAACUUCUGGAAACCGUAGCUAAUACCGCAUAAUAUUUUGAACCGCAUGGUUCAAAAUUGAAAGACGGUCUUGCUUUCACUUAUAGUUGGAUCCGCUCUGCAUUAGCUAGUUGGUAAGGUAACGGCUUACAAAGGCAACGAAGCAUAGCCGACCUGAGAGGGGGUUCGCCAAAAUUGGACUUGAGAAACGCUCCAGAUUCCUAGGGGAGGCAGAAGAAGGGAACCUCGGGAAUUGGGGGAAAGCUUGCCGGAGAAACGCGGCGUGGGGGAUGAAGGUCUUCGGAUGGAAAGACCUUGUUAUAAGGGAAGACCAGUUGUGUAAGUAACAGUGCACACCUUGACGGUACCUAACCAGAAAGCCACGGCUAACUACGUG
rnacentral:rRNA from 1 species